rnacentral:lncRNA from 1 species
CGUAGAAUCUUGGAUGGAGAUCAUUUAUCAGAGAAUCUUGACCGAAGCCUGUCUGCAAUAGAAAUCCGGAAGGAAUUCAUCCACAAUGGAAGCUCGGGUGAAGGCUUACAGUGGGAAUCUGUGGCGGACCGCUCGUGGUAGAAAUUUGAAGUAGAUCGUUUGUAGCAGAAGCUCGGAGUGGGUUGCUUGCAGUAGAAGCUCGGAGUCCGACCCUUGUAGGAGUUCGGGUGAGGUCUACCUGCAACAAGAGUUCAGGGUGGAAGUCCGACUCUCGUAGGAGCUCGGACGAAGUCUACCUGUUCGGGGAAGAAGUCCAGCUCCCGUAGGAGUCCGGACAAAGUCUACCUGCAGUUGAAGUUCAGGAAAGAGGUCUGGCUCCUGUAGGAGCCCGGACGAAGGCUACCUGCAG